CGUCCUACGGGGGGCAGCAGUGGGGAAUAUUGCACAAUGGGGGGAACCCUGAUGCAGCGACGCCGCGUGAGUGAAGAAGUAUUUCGGUAUGUAAAGCUCUAUCAGCAGGGCAGAAAAUGACGGUACCUGACUAAGAAGCCCCGGCUAACUACGUGCCAGCAGCCGCGGUAAUACGUAGGGGGCAAGCGUUAUCCGGAUUUACUGGGUGUAAAGGGAGCGUAGACGGAUAUGCA
rnacentral:rRNA from 1 species